AGUUCGAUCAUGGCUCAGAUUGAACGCUGGCGGAUGCUUUACACAUGCAAGUCGAACGGCAGCAAUGACUUCGGUCUGGGUGGCGAGUGGCGAACGGGUGAGUAAUGUAUCGGAACGUGCCUAGUGGGGAUAACUACGCGAAAGCGCUAAUACCGCAAGCCCUUCGGGGGAAAGCGGGGGACUCCUGGGCCUCGCACUAUUAGAGCGGCCGAUAUCGGAUUAGCUAGUUGGUGGGGUAACGGCUCACCAAGGCGACGAUCCGUAGCUGGUUUGAGAGGAUGACCAGCCACACUGGGAUUGAGACACGGCCCAGACUCCUACGGGAGGCAGCAGUGGGGAAUUUUGGACAAUGGGGAAACCCUGAUCCAGCCAUCCCGCGUGCGAUGAAGGCCUGGCUAAAGACUUUUGCAGGAAGAAACGGCACGGGAUAAUACCCCGUGCAACUGACGGUAACGCAGAAUAAGCACCGGCUAACUACGUGCCAGCAGCCGCGGUAAUGGGCGUAGGUGCAAGCGUUAAUCGUUCACGGCGGCGCGCGCGCAGGCGGUUCGGAAAGAAAGAUGUGAAAUCCCAGAGCUUAACUUUGGAACUGCAUUUUUAACUACCGAGCUAGAGUGUGUCAGAGGGAGGUGGAAUUCCGCGUGUAGCAGUGAAAUGCGUAGAUAUGCGGAGGGAACACCGAUGGCGAAGGCAGCCUCUGGGAUAACACUGAUGCUCGCACGAAAGCGGGAGAGCAAACGGGAUUAGAUAUUCUUGGUAGUCCACGCCCUAAACGAUGUCAACCGCUGUUGGGGCCUUCGGGCUCCGGUAGCGCAGCUAACGUGUGAAGUUGACCGCCUGGGGAGUACGGUCGCAAGAUUAAAACUCAAAGGAAUUGACGGGGACCUGCACAAGCGGUGGAUGAUGUGGAUUAAUUGAUGCAACGCGAAAACCUUACCUACCCUCGCGGAUAUGUCUGGAAUCCCGAAGAGAUUUGGAGUGCUCGCAAGAGAACCGGAACACAGGGUGCUGCAUGGCUGUCGUCAGCUCGUGUCGAGAUGUUGGGUUAAGUCUCGCAACGAAAGCGCAACUCCCUUGUCAUUAGUUGCUACGAAAGGGCACUUCAUCGAGACUGCCGCGACAAACCGGAGGAAGGUGGGGAUGACGUCAAGUCCUCAUGGCCCUGCGCGGGUAGGGCUUCACACGUCAUACAAUGGUCGGGACAGAGGGUCGCCAACCCGAGGGGGAGCCAAUCCCAGGAAACCCGAUCGUAGUCCGGAUCGCAGUCUGCAACUCGACUGCGUGAAGCGUCGGAAUCGCUAGUAAUCGCGGAUCAGGCAUGUCGCGGUGAAUACGUUCCCGGGUCUUGUACACACCGCCCGUCACACCUAUGGGGAGUGGGUUUUACCAGAAGUAUAGCCUAACUGUAAGGAGGGCGAUUACCACGGUAGGAUUCCGCGAUCGGGGGUAGUCGUAACAAGGUAACCCUCAGCAGACGUCCUAGAUGCCUCCCAGGUGGAGCACGGCUGCAACUGGA
rnacentral:rRNA from 1 species